UAGGGAAUCUUCCACAAUGGACGCAAGUCUGAUGGAGCAACGCCGCGUGAGUGAAGAAGGUUUUCGGACCGUAAAGCUCUGUUGUUGGUGAAGAAGGAUAGAGGUAGUAACUGGCCUUUAUUUGACGGUAAUCAACCAGAAAGUCACGGCUAACUACGUGCCAGCAGCCGCGGUAAUACGUAGGUGGCAAGCGUUGUCCGGAUUUAUUGGGCGUAAAGCGAGCGCAGGCGGAAGAAUAAGUCUGAUGUGAAAGCCCUCGGCUUAACCGAGGAAUUGCAUCGGAAACUGUUUUCUUGAGUGCAGAAGAGGAGAGUAGAACUCCAUGUGUAGUGGUGGAAUGCGUAGAUAUAUGGAAGAAUACCAGUGGCGAAGGCGGCUCUCUGGUCUGCAACUGACGCUGAGGCUCGAAAGCAUGGGUAGCGAACAGGAUUAGAUACCCUGGUAGUCCAUGCCGUAAACGAUGAGUGCUAAGUGUUGGGAGGCUUCCGCCUCUCAGUGCUGCAGCUAACGCAUUAAGCACUCCGCCUGGG
rnacentral:rRNA from 1 species